GUUUUGUUUUGUUUUUGUUUUUUGCCAGCUGUAUGUCUUUUUUGGAGAAAGGUCUAUUAAGAUCUUCUGCCCAUUUUUUUGAUUGACUUGUUUGUCUUUUUGACAUUGAGCUGCAUGAGUUGUUGGUUUAUUUUGGAGAUUAAUUCCUUGUCAGUUGCCUCAUUUGCAAAGAUUUUCUCUCAUUCAGUGGGUAGCCUUUUCAUUUUGUUUAUGGUUUCCUUUGCUGUGCAAAAGCUUUUAAGUUUAAUUAGGUCACAUUUGUUUAUUUUUUAGUUUAUCUUCAUUACUCUAGCAGGCUUAUGAAGAAAGAUUUUGCUGCAAUUUAUGUUGGAGAGUGUUUUGCCUAUGUUUUCCUCAACAGUUUUAUAUAAUUGGUCUUAUAUUUCGGUCUUUAAUCCAUUUUGAAUAUAUUUUUGUGCAUGGUGUUAGAGAGUGCUCUAAUCAUUCUAGUUUUACUGCACCAUUUAAUGAAGAAGCCGUCUUUUACCCAUUGUAUAUUCUUGCCUCCUUUGUUGUAGAUUAAUUGACCAUAGAUGUGUGGGUUUGUUUUUAUAAAUACCAUUAUUAUUAUUAUUAUUUUGCUUUUUAGGGCUGUGCCCACGACAUAUGAAGGUUCCCAGAAAAUACAAAAAGACAAUAAAUAAAUAAAUAAACAAACAAAAUACAAAAAGACAAUAAAUAAAUAAACAAACAAACUAUAGUUUUGCUCUUGAUAAUGAUAAUCACACUUCAAAGAACUACAGUACCUGCAGUGUAGGAUGAGAAACAGCGAAUUAAGACCUGCCUUUUGCUCAUUUGGUUAUUCUUAAGAAUUUUAAGGAGAUCCUCAAUCUGACUUAAUGCUACUUUAUGUUUAUGGUAAUGGAGACACUAAACUAAGAAUGUUUGAAAAAGGGAGUAAUCUUGUAGGUACAGUAUGAUCUCAGCUUUCUAAACACAUUUUAUAUAUAGAUAGUACCAUGUAUUAAAAAUGUAAAGAAUAAAGAAAAUGCAUGAAAUCUUAACCAUGGUAAGAGGGGUUAUAUAUGAUUUUAGUUAUUUUUUGGACCCUUACAUGUUUUCUGAUUUUCUGCAAUUAUAUUACUUCCAUAAUUUAAAAAAUGAGUUUGAAAAAGAAACCUCUCCAGCAAGCGUCCUAUUUAUUUUUCUCAUCUUUAAAAUAUCAGUAUGCGAUUUUUAAAAAGUUUCUCUUGGGAGUUCCCGGCAUGGUUCAGUGGUUAACAAAUCCGACUAGGAACCAUGAGGUUGCAGGUUCAAUCCCUGGCCUUGCUCAGUGGGUUAACGAUCCGGCGUUGCCGUGAGCUGUGGUGUAGAUCGUAGACGCGGCUUGGAUCCCGCGUUGCUGUGGCUCUGGCAUAGGCCGGUGGCUACAGCUCCAAUUAGACUCCUAGCCUGGGAACCUCCAUAUGCUGUGGGAGUGGCCCAAGAAAUGGCAAAAAGACAAAAAAAAAAGUUUGCUUUGAAAAAAAUCAAAUAUAGGUCUUAGAAAAAUGUGCAUAAAAGAAUAGUUCACAAUCUUUGAGUAUGAGGAUCCUUCCUUAAUUUUAUAUUUUAAAAAGUAUACACAAUAUGAGUUCUCUUGUGAUGCAGUGCAUUAAAGACCCUGCAUUGUCAUUGCAGCUGAGGCUCACUUUCUAUCUCUAUCUAUCCCAGGAACACUUGGCAAGGUGUAGCC
rnacentral:lncRNA from 1 species